rnacentral:miRNA from 1 species
GCGAGGAUAGCUCAGUUG